rnacentral:rRNA from 1 species
AAGAGAAAGUGAACACAGGUGCUGCAUGGCUGUCGUCAGCUCGUGUCGUGAGAUGUUGGGUUAAGUCCCGCAACGAGCGCAACCCUUGUCUUUAGUUGCUACGCAAGAGCACUCUAAAGAGACUGCCGGUGACAAACCGGAGGAAGGUGGGGAUGACGUCAAGUCCUCAUGGCCCUUAUGGGUAGGGCUUCACACGUCAUACAAUGGUGCAUACAGAGGGUUGCCAACCCGCGAGGGGGAGCUAAUCUCAGAAAAUGCAUCGUAGUCCGGAUCGUAGUCUGCAACUCGACUACGUGAAGCUGGAAUCGCUAGUAAUCGCGGAUCAGAAUGUCGCGGUGAAUACGUUCCCGGGUCUUGUACACACCGCCCGUCAUACCAUGGGAGUGGUUUUGCCAGAAGCCGUUAGCCUAACCGCAAGGAGGGCGAC